rnacentral:tRNA from 1 species
GGGCAGAUGUCCGAGUGGUUGAAGGAGCACGCCUGGAACGCGUGUAAGGUGAAAGUCUUCGGGGGUUCAAAUCCCUCUCUGCCCGCCA